rnacentral:tRNA from 8 species
GGAUCUUUAGCUCAGUUGGUUUAGAGCAGACGGCUCAUAACCGUCCGGUCGUAGGUUCGAGUCCUACAAGAUCCA